rnacentral:piRNA from 1 species
UCCACAGAGACAGAAACUAGAUUAGCGGU